GUGCUCACUUUGGCAGCACAUAUACGAAAAUUGAAACGAUACAGAGAAGAUUAACACGGCCCCUGUGCAAGGAUGACACAAAAUUUGUGAAGCAUUCCAUAUUUUU